AAUCACUAUACAAAUCCCUCUUGCCCUGAUUUCUCUCCUACGUAACAAUAUCUCCGUAAUGGCAUCUUUGGUGAAGCGUCGGAGCCGUCACUUUGUUCAAGCUCUCUGUCUCCACCUCUAGCUUUUACUCGCCUGAGACUGCUCCGCCGGAUUAGCCUCUCCAGCUCUUCUUCCUCGACCAUUGUGGCGGAUGUGGAUAUAGAGGUCAGGAGAAGGUGGUUGUGGAUGCCGUGAUGGUGGAUGCUAUGGUGAUGGAUGUGGAUACGGAGGUGGAAGAUGUGAGGAGGAGGUGGUGGUGGUGGAUGUUGUGGCUGUGGAUGAUGUGGUGGUGGAUGUGGAUACGGAGGUGGAAGACGUGAGGAAAGGGAGGAGGUGGUGGAUUAUGUGGUGGUGUAUGUGGACACGGAGGUGGAAGACGUGAGGAGGAGGAAGUGGUGGCGGAUGUGGAUACAGAGGUGGAAGAUGUGAGGAGAAUAAAGUGGUGGUAGAUGCCAUGUUCGUGGAUGUUGUGAUGGUGGAUGUGGAUACGGAGGUGGAAGACGUGAGUAGAAGAGUGGUGGAUGCUGUGGAUAGAGGAUGUGUGGAUGUGAUCGGCAGUGUGUGGAUGUGGUGGCUGUUGACAUGAGUGUGGGAGGGGGGAGAGGGGUCAAGUGCGCAAUGGUCAGAUAAAAGGUGGUAAGAUGAGAUAUGAAUAACAAU